rnacentral:rRNA from 1 species
UGAGGAAUAUUGGUCAAUGGACGCAAGUCUGAACCAGCCAUGCCGCGUGCAGGAAGACGGCUCUAUGAGUUGUAAACUGCUUUUGUACGAGGGUAAACCCGGAUACGUGUAUCCGGCUGAAAGUAUCGUACGAAUAAGGAUCGGCUAACUCCGUGCCAGCAGCCGCGGUAAUACGGAGGAUUCAAGCGUUAUCCGGAUUUAUUGGGUUUAAAGGGUGCGUAGGCGGUUUGAUAAGUUAGAGGUGAAAUACCGGUGCUUAACACCGGAACUGCCUCUAAUACUGUUGAGCUAGAGAGUAGUUGC